rnacentral:lncRNA from 1 species
UUCACAUCCAAGCAUAAUAUUCAUAUAUUAACAAAAAGUUACAUGAUUUCAUUAGUUUAUAUGUCAUAAUUCAUAGGUUUUAAAAUUUUACAACAUCAAAAAGUUACAACAUUGUAAUGAUAUUCUAUCAACUCAUUAUACCAUCCAAAGAUUACAAACACAAAAAAAAUACAAAAUAAAAAAUACAAAAUAAAUUCACUACUUUAUCUUAUGGUCGGGAGUUUGAUCCCCAUUCAUGAGAAUGGAGCACAUUUCAUGACUAUUCAUCUUGUUUACCUCUUUAGAGAGCACCCACAAUAGCAUUAUACUUUAUUUUAAUUUACAUUUGUCAUUAUACUAUGAGAAUAUACGUAAAUUUGUCAAUUAACUUAAUGUGAUUGAAUUUUGCCACUAAAAUUUGAAUUUUAUUGAAUAUUUCCACCAACUUUGAUUUUUUUAAUUAAAGUUUACCACCCAGUAUUGAUUUUGAUGAUUUGAAAACAAAUUUUAACAAGAAAAAUAUUCUUUCAAAUAUUUUAUUUUAAUUGUUAACCAUAACUUAAUUUAUAAAAUAUAAUACAUUAAAUUAGAAGUUUUAUUUAUUAAAUUAAAAGACUUGAAAAUUAAAUAUAACUUAACUUUAAUUUUUAAAAUUAUAUUAAUUAAUUUAUUAUUUUAACUAUUAAAAUAAAACAUUAAAAAUAUGUUUUAAUUAAAAAUUAUCUUUAAAUAAAUUUGAAUAGAAAAAUUUAGGUAAAGAUAAAACUAGGCAAAAUUUAAUAGAAAGUUAAAAAAAAUAAUAAUAGGCAAAAGUUGCUGUUGAAGGCUCCGCACAAGUUCCUAAAGUCUCUGAAUGUUCUUCUCUUUUGAUAAGAUGAUCUGCAACAAGUGAAAGAUUACAAGUUAAUCACGGGUAGAAUAGCCGACAAAAGAUAUGUAUCAUGCCGAAAACAUAACUUCAUUAUAAUUUGCCUUUUCCCUGUAGCAUAUUGUAAAUGAAAUAGUAAGAAUUUUGUCAAGACUAUCCAACAGAUGCAACAAUAUCUAACAUUUCCUGCAAAUUUUAAAACCGAGAUCAAUCCAACCAACCAAUUCAUUUCAAUCAAUUUGAUACCAAAUUAUACUACUAUUAUAAUUAUACUAUUUAACAUAUUCAUCAUUCUUUACUUUAAUGUAUAUUUCUUAAACAAGUCUUAAUAUUUAUAUAAUCAUCAAACCUUAUACAUGCCAUAUAAAUCAAAAAGAAAUUUACAAAAGCUACCGGAGAUAAUCUAGAUAGUGUGAUCCUCUGUGUUGAUCUGAUCCUCCAUAUACUUCCACGUCAAUCUACAAGAGACAUUGAUUACACUCAUGUAAGCUUAUAGAAGCUUAGUAAGUUCAUAGGCAUAAAACAUAAAUCUUACCAAAUAUUUAUACACUUAUACAAUAUACACAAUUAUUAAGUUCACCUGUCAACCACAGCCAUCGGUGAGUUCCCUUGUAUAAACUUACUACCACUUAUCCAUUUCCUUUAAUUCUUUUGGGCCCAUUUGUCACAUAUCAUUCUUUAACCAAAUUAGGGAAUGGUUACGGAAAAUUGAGUACUUCACUUUCACUUUGCCAUAGUAUAACU